GGGAAUCCUUGCAGCUAUACUUCUGAGAAAUCCGACCUCUGGUGAUGAUAUAUAGUUAACAAUGAUGCUUCUGGAUACAGAAAGUACAAAGUUCCUCAUGCUCACGUUAUGUUGCGUGAAGAACACAUCAUGCUGAAUAUUUAGCCAAAAUCCUGGAGGCUUGAACUGAUUAACCACAUCUUCAGGAGUGAGAAUAACAAACUCAUUGCCAUCGAACUUAUUAGUUCGAGAAUAGAUUCCUUGAACAAGAGAAACAUUUUCCAGUUCUUUGAAAUUGAAAUCGACCGUAA
rnacentral:misc_RNA from 1 species